CAGGAGACAGUUAUCCCUUUCUGGCCGGGCCCAGCGGACUUGGGAUGGGGGGGGGGGUCUAUCUUCAGCCAUAAGUGGUGAGUUCUAUUCAGCAUCAGUGUUUGGAUAGGGGUUUUAGACUCGCCAGAGAUCA
rnacentral:snoRNA from 1 species